rnacentral:rRNA from 1 species
GGAAUAUUGGACAAUGGGGGGAACCCUGAUCCAGCCAUGCCGCGUGUGUGAAGAAGGCCUUUUGGUUGUAAAGCACUUUAAGCGAGGAGGAGGCUCCCAGUAUUAAUACUACUGGAGAGUGGACGUUACUCGCAGAAUAAGCACCGGCUAACUCUGUGCCAGCAGCCGCGGUAAUACAGAGGGUGCAAGCGUUAAUCGGAUUUACUGGGCGUAAAGCGUGCGUAGGUGGCCAAUUAAGUCAAAUGUGAAAUCCCCGAGCUUAACUUGGGAAUUGCAUUCGAUACUGGUUGGCUAGAGUAUGGGAGAGGAUGGUAGAAUUCCAGGUGUAGCGGUGAAAUGCGUAGAGAUCUGGAGGAAUACCGAUGGCGAAGGCAGCCAUCUGGCCUAAUACUGACACUGAGGUACGAAAGCAUGGGGAGCAAACAGGAUUAGAUACCCGGG